UUUCUCGUAGGCCUGCUAUGAGAACAAUGAAUGGCAGAAGGGUGAGUAAUGCAUAGGAAUCUACCUAGUAGUAUAGGAUAGCCACUAGAAAUGGUGGGUAAUACUGUAUAAUCCCUGCGGGGGAAAGAUUUAUCGCUACAUGAUGAGCCUAUGUUAGAUUAGCUAGUUGGUGGGGUAAUGGCCUACCAAGGCAGUGAUCUAUAGCUGGUCUGAGAGGAUGAUCAGCCACACUGGAACUGAGACACGGUCCAGACUCCUACGGGAGGCAGCAGUGGGGAAUAUUGGACAAUGGGCGCAAGCCUGAUCCAGCUAUGCCGCGUGAGUGAGGAAGGCCUUAGGGUUGUAAAACUCUUUCAGUGGGGAAGAUAAUGACGGUACCCACAGAAGAAGUCCCGGCAAACUCCGUGCCAGCAGCCGCGGUAAUACGGAGGGGGCAAGCGUUGUUCGGAAUUAUUGGGCGUAAAGGGCAUGUAGGUGGUUUGGUAAGUUAAAGGUGAAAUGCCAGGGCUAAACCCUGGAGCUGCUUUUAAUACUGCCAGACUGGAGUCCGGGAAAAAAAAACAU
rnacentral:rRNA from 1 species